rnacentral:rRNA from 1 species
CCUACGGGUGGCUGCAGUGGGGAAUAUUGGACAAUGGGCGAAAGCCUGAUCCAGCCAUGCCGCGUGUGUGAAGAAGGCCUUCGGGUUGUAAAGCACUUUCAGUGGGGAAGAAAGCCUUGGGGCUAAUACCCUCGAGGAAGGACAUCACCCACAGAAGAAGCACCGGCUAACUCCGUGCCAGCAGCCGCGGUAAUACGGAGGGUGCGAGCGUUAAUCGGAAUUACUGGGCGUAAAGCGCGCGUAGGCGGUCUGAUAAGCCGGUUGUGAAAGCCCCGGGCUCAACCUGGGAACGGCAUCCGGAACUGUCAGGCUAGAGUGCAGGAGAGGAAGGUAGAAUUCCCGGUGUAGCGGUGAAAUGCGUAGAGAUCGGGAGGAUUACCAGUGGCGAAGGCGGUCUUCUGGACUGACACUGACGCUGAGGUGCGAAAGCGUGGGUAGCAAACAGGAUUAGAUACCCUAGUAGUC